rnacentral:sRNA from 1 species
CCAGAGUUACUUGUGCCAGCAUCAAAUGUCCCAAUCCCGGCUAAUAAAACAGAAUGUACAUCAGCUCCUAGUUAUUCUUGGGAACCAAACGAAGGAAAUUAAUGGAAUUGGUUCUUGUCAAAACGAUUCAACAUAUCAUAUAUUUUGACGACAUUUGUAUCUGACUCGUUUGCUUGAAAGCUGUUCCCAGUGCCGUCGAAGCAAAGGACAAGCCGGCGAGGUACAUCACUUCGAUUCUCACGAUUUGUGCUAAACGGAAUCAUAAUUGAAAUUGGUUAUGAGGGGAAACGACAAGGGAAACUCGACUAACAGUGAAUGAAACGAAAAUAGUGAAUGGAAAUUUGAGC